rnacentral:rRNA from 1 species
GAUGUGAAAGCCCCCGGCUCAACCGGGGAGGGUCAUUGGAAACUGGGAGACUUGAGUGCAGAAGAGGAGAGUGGAAUUCCAUGUGUAGCGGUGAAAUGCGUAGAUAUAUGGAGGAACACCAGUGGCGAAGGCGGCUCUCUGGUCUGUAACUGACGCUGAGGCUCGAAAGCGUGGGGAGCAAACAGGAUUAGAUAC